rnacentral:misc_RNA from 1 species
GAAAUGUGAUAAGUAGUGUGAAUUGCAGAAUUCAGUGAAUCAUCGAAUCUUUGAACGCACAUUGCGCCCUUUGGUAUUCCUUAGGGCAUACCUGUUCGAGCGUCAUCUAAACCUUCAAGCCCUGCUUGGUGUUGGGUGCCUGUCCCGCCUCCGCGCGCGGACUCACCUCAAAUCCAUUGGCGGCCCCCGCGUCGGCCACGAGCGCAGCAGAAACGCGAACUCGUGAGCCCGUCCGGGCGGCUCCCAGAAGCUACACCCACCCAGUUUGACCUCGGAUCAGGUAGGGAUACCCGCUGAACUUAAGC